rnacentral:rRNA from 1 species
CACGUAGGACGCAAGCGUUAUCCGGAAUCACUGGGCGUAAAGGGCAGGUAGGCGGCGGCACAAGUGGGACGUGAAAUCUCCCGGCUCACCUGGGAGGGGUCGCCCCAGACUGUGCCGCUUGAGCGCCGAAGAGGGCCGUGGAACGUCGGGAGAAGCGGUGAAAUGCGUAGAGCUCCGACGGAACGCCAGUAGGGAAGCCGACGGCCUGGGCGGCUGCUGACGCUGAACUGCGACAGCCAGGGGAGCGAACGGG